UCUAGAUUCAGUGCAAAUACAUUCCUAAAGAUCACAGAAUUGAACAUAGGCAGUUUCAGUUUUCUUUUUCUCUGGAUAGGAUAGAGUCAAAGUUAAUUAAUCAAAAUCAAAUGUAAUCAGAAUCA